rnacentral:lncRNA from 10 species
AGCAGAUGACCUGUACUUCUCUGCUCUCUCCCCUACUGCAAAGAGGCAGUGAGGGCAGCAUUAGUAAGCCUGACUCAGGGGAAGGUAAGUGGCCUGCAGAGAAAUGGUCCUAGGUCCGCAACCGAGGCGAGUGAACUUGUCGGACAGAUGAAGACUCUAACUGGAAGAAACGAUCAGCGCAUUCACGGAUGCACCACCAUCCAGAAAUCUCCCGGUGGCUUCCAUACAAAAACUGAUGUUUCUAAAGAUGGAAAGAACAGGUCUAGGAGGCAGAAGAGUAUCUCCUAGCAAAGUGUUCUGUAGCUCAAAGGAUGAACACCACAGACGGGGUAAAUGAUUUGCCUAAAGUCACACAGCUCGUAAGGGCCAGAGCCCACACUUUCAUCCACUAGCCUAUAUUCUGUGCUGUCAUCACUGAUAGCAGUGACUGAGACUGAGAGACAAAGUCACUUAAGAGCUGAUGGCUGCUACUAAAAAAUUUAAAUGUGUGGCUCACGUUACAUUUCAACUGAACACUGCUAUGCUGGUUCCAGCACAAAAGACAGGUGAGAUGGUGCAGAGAAAAUCCUCAGCAACCCUGCAGGCCCAGGCAGGGGGCAUCGCCCACUCCAGCCUGCUGCUGGCAGUGACUGUGACCAGCGCCUGCAGCCUUUCCCACUAAGCGGAGGCCCCUCCACUCCCCACUCAGCUUCCCGGAGUCUUGCAACCCCCAAGGACUCCUGGGGUCUGAUGAGAAGUAAAUGGUCUCUGUGAUCAGCCAC